AUGGAAUACAUUGGUAAUACAAUGGCUGGCUUGAAGCUGGUGAAACUGCUACUCAGGGAGGCGUUUGUGUUGGAGGCGAUGGGUAUCAUGCCUUCCAAGGAUGCUGUGUUGACUGUUCUAACCAUGAGAAAAGGUGAGAUGCAAAACUGUCCCGACACCGCCAUCUCCUUCAACAAGCUUGGCCUUUUUGAAGAUAUCGGGAAGCAAUUGAGGAACUACCUGGCUAAUACCGAGACCUCGAUACAUCUCCCAUACCUCCGCCGCGGGGAGGCCUGUCUCGAAGUCAUGGCAAAGGCUACCUUUCAUUGCUUCUAUGAGCUCUGGGUGGAAUGCCAAAGAUUGCACGGUGAGUUCUAG
rnacentral:rRNA from 1 species